UACGAGGGGGGCAAGUGUUGUUCGGAUUUACUGGGUGUAAAGGGAGUGUAGGCGGUUCGAUAAGUCAGGGGUGAAACUCCCACGCUUAACGUGGGAACUGCCUUUGAUACUGUCAGACUUGAGUGUUGGAGAGGGUAACGGAAUUUCAGGUGUAGCGGUGGAAUGCGUAGAUAUCUGAAAGAACACCAGUUGCGAAGGCGGUUACCUGGCCAAACACUGACGCUGAGGCUCGAAAGCCGAGGGAG
rnacentral:rRNA from 1 species